GCGAGCCUCCGCCGAUGUGGUGCUAGCCACCACCACCGAGCCCUAGCAGCAAAGGGAGUGGUGGCUUAUUCCACGGCGCAUCUCCACGCGUGCAGCAGCGACCCCGGGAGGAGCUCAAGCCGCAACGAUGGUCCACCGCGCCGGCGCCGUCGUCGACCGGCAGUGGAGGAGCAGCGGCGGCCAACGGCAGAUCGGCGUGUCAUGGGAGCAGACACGGCGGCUGUCACGGGCAGAGCAGAGCGAAGUUGGCAUGGCGGCUAGGCGGCUGUCCGGACUGGAUCCCGCCAUCACCACCAGCCCGCCUCGUUUGUCCGUGUCCAUCUCGGCGAAACCAAGGGUCUGCCUCGUGUCCUGCGAGGUGACACUCCACCGCCACCGCUCUGCUGCUUCCGCCCUACACUUCGCUCCCUCCGGUGCCAUCCUCACCUCCGACAAAAAGGACCUCUUGGACGUCAUUGCACAUGCUGGCCUCUUCCGACCCCGUGGCCACCGUGAUCAGGUAAUUGAUUUUGUGUUCCUGGAUUCGGGUAAGAAGCUAGUGACCUGCUCCAAGGGCAAGGUUAUCUGGGUUUGGGACCUCGACACAUAACACUGCCUUCAAAUUGUAAGGUGUCCAUCACAUCAAGAUAUGGUCGAUGGAUGUUGAUUCUAGCGAGAAGUUUUUGGUGUCUGUCUCGGCCGAUCAAGAGCUGUGGGUGUUCAAAAUCAGGCAAUCAGCUGAACAGGGUGAAGAUUGGAACAAAUGGGAUGCACUUCACCAUUGAUCUAUUGUGAUUCCUUUUCCCCUUUAAUAACGUGUACGUAUAGGGUAGUCAAGCGCCACAGGAUAUCAACUUUUGUUGUGGAUAAGAGUGGGAUGAUCAAUCGGAUUGCCGGGGUAGUACAACAUUGAGUCAUUGGCAGUUGGGCUCAACAAGGACAAGGCGUUGUUCACCAUAGGGGUAUUAGGAACAGAGAAAAUACUCACACAAGGCAUGGAGCAGCUACAAACUUGUUAAUGUUAUACAGGUUGAUGAUUUGUCAAAGGAAUUUUAUUGCAAAUUCCUGUAGGCCUGAAAAUGCACACUAUCAUAACAGAGUAAUGUGCAAGUACACAAUGUCAUAGUAGAAAAAUAGAAUUUUGACUGAUUAUUUAACAUCACCGUGAGCUUUCCUUUAAAUUUGUGCCUUUUGAUUUACCCCUGCUAUUGUAUAAGUAUGUGUAGGUUGAUUUUGCUUAUUGUGUGUUUUAUACAGCGAGCAGCUUCCCUUGCGCCGUCAUCCAUCCACCAACAAGUCCAUGACCAUGCAUCAGAGAAUGAAAAGCAUCUUUCACGCUGCCAACGGGAUCUGGACCAAGAAGAGGAUCAGGAGGACGAAUACAGUGGACACUACUACUCAGCAAGAUACAGUUCAAACCCUGUAUCCUCCUGAUUGAUCUCCCUUCGCCCCUGUUUAAGAAUCAUGUUUCACCCAUUCAGUGUUGUCUUCAGAAUUAUAGACACCUCAUUCUAUAAGGAGGCCGCCACCAAGAAGAGCGAGGUUGUGUCAAUGGACUCAGCGACAAGUUGUAGAAAGAAACAAGGCUUAUGUUAGGCAAAGUUGAUUAGGUUGUACUACACACCGAGUGCCUCCAUAAGAAUCUAGAUAAAAUGCCAUAAAAGACUGUUCUAGAUAAGAUGAUGGCUAUCAAUGUGAGCGACUGAGCUUUUAUGUCCAGAAAAUGCUCACUAAUAAAAUCUGGAAUGUCUUAUGUUUCUCAUCUUUUCUCUUCAUUUGUAUGGUUAAAGUUUGGCUUCAAACCAACAAAUAGUUAAUAUUAAAUUAAGCUAUUUUCCCGCUCCCCUCUUCAGUUGGCAAACCCAUCAAGGAAUUGUUGUAAUGAAUAUAUUUUAUAUGGUUACAUCCACAACAGGAAGAGAUCUUAAAUGCUAUAGCAUACGUCUA